UUCUCUAUACUUGGAUCCCAAAUUAUAAAUGUUUUUAAAAACCUUUUGCUUUGCAUUAGAUAUUACCCACCUCGGAAGCUUUUGUAGUUUGGAAAACCAGUCUGAAAACUUUCUCCUUCCCUUUUUGGUCAUGAUUUCACCUUUUUGUCACUUUUCAAGACAAUUUUUUUUAAUGAAUCUUUAUUUAUACUUCACUUAACAACACCAUCGGGGUACCAAGGACCAUGAUAUUAAAAAAAUAUAAAUGAGGGGAAAAAAAGCAAGUUAAGAGCAAAAAUGAAACAGAAUAGCAUAACAUUAAACUUCCACCUCUGCGUUUAUUUUUUUUAAGUCCUGCCUAUGGAUGUGACAUUUUUAUGAGUUGCAGAUUAUUUUAGGAGGAAAUAUCAAAACAACAAAAAUAGAGUUCUUUGAAUGUUUUUUUUUUCUAGCCAAACCAUUUCAUAUUUCAAAAUUGCAGAGAAAUGUUUGGUUUUGCAACACUAUUGUCUACGAAAUUAAAGUCUUACUUUAGAAUUUUCGGGAUUUUUUUGUUUUUCGAUUCAGUCUAUAUCCCCUACAUUACCCAGAAUGCUUUUCAACUCGUCAAAGCAUUGUAGUGCGCAUGCGUGUCUAUUUUAUCAGGCGGUGAAAAUUCGCAGAGAAUCAUGGGAUGCGAACUAUGGACGCACGUGCAGGAACAAUUCAAGACGUUCCUGAGACCAGAGAUGAGCUGACGUUCUUGUUUGGAUCGUUGAGACUUCAGGUGAUCUUCACACGACCUUCAGGUCCCAAACUGCUUUGACUUUUGUGUGUUUUCUAAUAAAAUUGUUUUGAAGAAGA